AUUCUGAUGACGAAACUGCGAAUGGCUCGGUAAAACAGCAAUAAUUUCUUCGAUGGUAACUUACUAUACG
rnacentral:rRNA from 1 species